CCUACGGGGGGCUGCAGUGGGGAAUAUUGGACAAUGGGGGGAACCCUGAUCCAGCCAUGCCGCGUGUGUGAAGAAGGCCCUCGGGUUGUAAAGCACUUUCAGUGAGGAAGAACGCCUGGUGGUUAAUACCCAGCAGGAAAGACAUCACUCACAGAAGAAGCACCGGCUAACUCCGUGCCAGCAGCCGCGGUAAUACGGAGGGUGCGAGCGUUAAUCGGAAUUACUGGGCGUAAAGCGCGCGUAGGUGGCUUGAUAAGCCGGUUGUGAAAGCCCCGGGCUCAACCUGGGAACGGCAUCCGGAACUGUCAAGCUAGAGUGCAGGAGAGGAAGGUAGAAUUCCCGGUGUAGCGGUGAAAUGCGUAGAGAUCGGGAGGAACACCAGUGGCGAAGGCGGCCUUCUGGACUGACACUGACACUGAGGUGCGAAAGCGUGGGUAGCAAACAGGAUUAGAUACCCUUGUAGUC
rnacentral:rRNA from 1 species